rnacentral:tRNA from 1 species
GACCGCUUAGCUCAGCCGGAAGAGCGCUUCGUUCACAUCGAAGAGGUCGAAGGUUCGAAUCCUUCAGCGGUCA